ensembl:lncRNA
GUUUCGGACAGGUAAUGGCGGACAUGCGAUAGUUCGGGCUGACUUAUAUUCCAACAUAGGAAGUGUUAUAAACAGCUGAUCGGAUCGGCAAAGCCUGUUUCUGGAAUAUUGUGUUUUUGUUGCUGCAAGUCUGGAAUAUUAUGUUUUUGUUGCUGGAAGUGCUUUUUAUGCAAUUUUUUGCAAAGCUAUAUGUGGAAGAAAACCGUGACCUAGGGCAAGCUAAUGGAAUAAGAUCGAGGACCCCAACUUUGCUGAAUUCGUUCAUAAUCUGUGGGAUGGAGCGAAGCCAGCGAUACGUCAGUCACCCAACAAAAAAAAAGAGACAAACUUUAUUUUUUGUGAAAUGUGUGAACUCAGUUGGCACCCGAGCAUGAAUCGUAUGUGGCUGACAUCUCCCUCAAACUGUAAUGUGGGAUGAAGAAGAUGCUUCAAAGUGCUUCAAAAACAACUUUGACAACAAGACGGCUGACAAAGUAACUAAACAAUAAUAAUAAAAUAACAUAAAUUCAUUCUGCAGGAAUGUUCUACAUCAUGAGCGUGCAGUCAGUCCCCCCAACACAGGCCACCCCCUCUCAAUGGUUGCUGGUGCUCUGUCUCUCUUUGAGAAGCUUGUUGUCUCCCUGUCAGGACCCCCGACUGUUUGCCCAUAAUGCACCACCACUCCUGCAUGGCACCCUGUGAGGGGUGGUGGUGGAGGGCAAGUCUGAAGCCUUCAGUGCGCAGGCCACAAAGACCAAAGGUAGGCGUGUGCUUGGAGAGGUGGGGGGCUUGACCUGGAUGUUCCUCAAUAAAGGACCUUGAAGGCAGG